rnacentral:lncRNA from 1 species
GGAGGCUUCUUAAGGGGAUGAGCUGUUUCCCUGAAGAGCCCUAUGAAGACAGAGAAAGCAGAAGCUACACAGGUAUAUCUCCGUGCAGUUCAUACCCAGCCUUUGGUACUGCCUUUCUGUCAUCAGUUGGCUGUUUGCCUCAGCACAGUGGAAAUUCAUCAUAGAAAUGAACUCUGUCAUAUAUAGCAAUUUAGAAUACAGCCUGAAGCUCAGAGUGAUAAAGGAGGAUGGUUUUAUGCCCAUAAAUAUAUUUAAAGCUGAGGUGAGUUGCUACUAGAAAAUCAUUGUUUU